GCAGCACAUGGUCCUCAUGUGCGGCCUGCUUUCUGUCUAUCGCAAACAUGAACAAGCAGCUUGCGGUAUUUCUACUUAUGGUAGCGGUGGUAAGGCUAGGACGUGCACUGGAUCCAUGUACCAGCCCUAGGGCGUUUACCAAUCUCACGCAAAGAUCAUCCACGAAUGUAAGAAACCUUACAACCACACCACUAUCUGACAGAUUUAUCACAGAAGGAUGGUACGGACAACGUAAUUUUAAAAUUCCUAAUUCACCACCUGGUAUAAAUCACUGUGGUACUGUUUAUCCUAUUUAUCUACAAGGGGAUGAUCCUAUAGAUGUUCUGGAGAAACGUACAUUUUGUGUGCAAUCACCUCGAAGUAACUCUUGUUUCAAAACUUUCCAGUUAGAAACUAAACGCUGUAAUAAUUUUAUGGUGUAUAAUUUAAAACGAUCCACUUCAGGGUAUUCAUCUUACU